UACGGAGGGUGCAAGCGUUAAUCGGAAUUACUGGGCGUAAAGCGCACGUAGGCGGCUUUGUAAGUUAGAGGUGAAAGCCCGGGGCUCAACUCCGGAAUUGCCUUUAAGACUGCAUCGCUCGAAUUGUGGAGAGGUAAGUGGAAUUCCGAGUGUAGAGGUGAAAUUCGUAGAUAUUCGGAAGAACACCAGUGGCGAAGGCGACUUACUGGACACAUAUUGACGCUGAGGUGCGAAAGCGUGGGGAGCAAACAGG
rnacentral:rRNA from 1 species